AUGGCCUCGCCGACGCCGCCAGACGCCGAGUGCCCGACACAGUCCUCGCUCCUGGCCCUUCCGGAUGUGAACCUGGAGGACAUAUUCCUCCGCCUGCCCACACCGGCGGCGCUCGCCCGCGCCUCCCUCGCCUGCGCCGCCUUCCGCCGCAUCAUCACCGAGCGCUCUUUCCUCCGCCGCUUCCGCAAACUCCACCCGCCUCCCCUCCUCGGCAUCAUCGACGACGAAGGUGUCUUCGCGCCCACCGAGGCGCCCCACCCUUCCGCCCCGCUCUCCCGGGCUCUUGUCCAAGGGGCUGGUUUCACCUACUCCUUCGUCCCAAAGCCACUCGGUGACAAUCACACAAUCUGGUCUCCCUGCGACGUCCGCGACGGUCGCGUCCUCCUCGAGCACCGCCGGUCUGGAGCUGACACUUUCUUCAUAGACCUGGCGGUGUGCGACCCCCUGUCGCGGAGGUACCUGCUGCUCCCACCCAUUCCUGAGGAUAUGACCAUCGAGCAAGAGCGCCUCUAUGAAUUGCGGCAUUUCCUCAUUCCCAUUCGCUAGAAUGAAGAUGAGACAUCGCUCAAGGUGAUCUGUCUGGCAUACUACAGAAGCAAGUUGGUCACAUUCAUCUUCUCUUCUGUCACCGGACUAUGGUGUAUAGCUGCGUCUACCAGCUGGAGUUCUUUGGGCGUAGUUGACCCCUUCAGGCGCGUAAGAUUGUCCCGUUUCAACUAUUUGCAUGGCUGCUUCUACUGGAAAAAUCUUUGGAGGGACAACCUGCUCGUGCUGGACACACGCAUAAUGGAGUUUUCCACUGUCAACAUCCUCACCGGCUAUCAUUUGCAGCUUAUAAAUAAGCCUGGCGAGAACGUAUGUAGCCCUACCAUUGUUGAUGGUACAGCAGGAGCCCUUGAGAUGCUCACUCCCGUCCGUGAUAACGUUCAUGCCUUGUUUUAUCUCUGUCAUACCACUCAACAAAACAGCGGCGAAUCUUCCAACGAGUGGCAGCUGAAAAAUGUUAUAGCCUUGCCUCGCCGAUAUCUCUAUUCCAUUGUGGGCGCAACCGAGGGAUUCUUAUUCCUUCAAGGUGAUGAAGUAGCUCAGGAUAACGCAUAUCGGAAGUCGCCCAAGGAUACUGUUGUUUUUCUCUCUCUGGAUGCCAAGACUUCAGAACUUAAGAAGGUCUCUAGGUUAGCAAACUUUGAUCGUCCCAAUCGAAUUCACUCCUACUUUGGCUUCCCACCAUCGUUGUUGAAACCAAGUCUAUGA
rnacentral:rRNA from 1 species